UAAUACGUAGGGUGCGAGCGUUAAUCGGAAUUACUGGGCGUAAAGCGUGCGCAGGCGGUGCGUUAAGACCGAUGUGAAAUCCCCGAGCUUAACUUGGGAACUGCAUUGGUGACUGGCGCGCUAGAGUAUGGCAGAGGGGGGUGGAAUUCCACGUGUAGCAGUGAAAUGCGUAGAGAUGUGGAGGAACACCGAUGGCGAAGGCAGCCCCCUGGGCCAAUACUGACGCUCAUGCACGAAAGCGUGGGGAGCAAACAGGAUUAGAUACCCUGGUAGUCCACGCCCUAAACGAUGUCAACUAGUUGUUGGGGAUUCAUUUCCUUAGUAACGAAGCUAACGCGUGAAGUUGACCGCCUGGGGAGUACGGUCGCAAGAUUA
rnacentral:rRNA from 1 species